GGACCCGCACAAGCGGUGGAACAUGUGGUUUAAUUCGAUGCUACGCGAAAAACCUUACCAAGAUUUGACAUAUUAGUCGUAUGUCUAGGAAACUAGCAGUCAGUUCGGCUGGACUAUUACAGGUGCUGCAUGGCUGUCGUCAGCUCGUGUCGUGAGAUGUUGGGUUAAGUCCCGCAACGAGCGCAACCCUUAUCUUUAGUUGCCAUCAGGUUAAGCUGGGAACUUUAAGAAACUGCCAAUGGAGAAUUGGAGGAAGGUGAGGAUGACGUCAAGUCAGCAUGGCCCUUAUAUCUUGGGCUACACACGUGUUACAAUGGUAGUGACAAUGAGAUGCAAUAGGGCGACCUUGAGCAAAUCUAUAAAAACUAUCUCAGUUCGGAUUGCACCCUGCAACUCGGGUGCAUGAAGUUGGAAUCGCUAGUAA
rnacentral:rRNA from 1 species